rnacentral:rRNA from 1 species
GAUUAACGCUGGCGGCGUGCAUAACACAUGCAAGUCGAACGAUGAAACGUAGUCGACUUCUUCGGAAAGACACUAAGCGGAGUAGUGGCGAACGGGGGAGUAACGCGUGAGUAACCUGCCUUACACAAGGGGAUAGCCUUCGGAAACGAAGAAUAAUACCCUAUAAAACCAUAAAAGCACAUGCUAGAAUGGUCAAUGUGAUAGCGGUGUAAGAUGGACUUGCGUCUGAUGAGCUAGUAGGCGAGGUAAAAGCUCAGCAAGGCAACGAUCAGUAGCCGGCUUGGGAGCGUGUACGACCCCCUUGCGACUGAGACCCGUCCCGAACUCCUGCGGGCGGCCGCAGUGCUGAUUUUUGCACACUGGGGGAAGGCCUGAUGCCGCGGCGCUGCGUGAUUUUGAUGGCCUUCGGGAUGUGAAUUUCUUUUGUAUAGGAAGAAAAUGACGGUACUAUAAGAAUAAGGUCCGGCUAAUUACGUG